UACGGAGGAUGCGAGCGUUAUCCGGAUUUAUUGGGUUUAAAGGGUGCGUAGGCGGCCUGCCAAGUCAGCGGUAAAAUUGCGGGGCUCAACCCCGUACAGCCGUUGAAACUGCCGGGCUCGAGUGGGCGAGGAGUAUGCGGAAUGCGUGGUGUAGCGGUGAAAUGCAUAGAUAUCACGCAGAACCCCGAUUGCGAAGGCAGCAUACCGGCGCCCUACUGACGCUGAGGCACGAAAGUGCGGGGAUCAAACAGG
rnacentral:rRNA from 1 species